rnacentral:rRNA from 1 species
GAGUUUGAUCAUGGCUCAGGAUGAACGCUAGCGGCAGGCUUAACACAUGCAAGUCGAGGGGUAUAUUUCUUCGGAGAUAGAGACCGGCGCACGGGUGCGUAACGCGUAUGCAAUCUACCUUUUACAGGGGAAUAGCCCAGAGAAAUUUGGAUUAAUGCCCCAUAGUAUAGUGAAUCGGCAUCGGUUUAUUAUUAAAGUCACAACGGUAAAAGAUGAGCAUGCGUCCCAUUAGUUAGUUGGUAAGGUAACGGCUUACCAAGACUAUGAUGGGUAGGGGUCCUGAGAGGGAGAUCCCCCACACUGGUACUGAGACACGGACCAGACUCCUACGGGAGGCAGCAGUGAGGAAUAUU